CUGUUUGUUAUGAACUGGUUUGGUGGAUCGGAUGUGGGGGUAUUGUCUGCGGGCCUCUUCAGAGGUCGGCUCCCCUGAAAAGCAUUAGCGGACCCGUUUGCGGACCCGUCACUGGUGUGAUAAUUAUCUACGCCAAAGACACAACUGCUCUCUGGUAGUUCUGCUUCUAAUCGUCCUUUAGUUGGACAAUCAAUAUUUGAAUGCUUGACCUCAAAUCAGGUAGGACUACCCGCUGAACUUAAGCAUAUCAAUAAGCGGAGGAAAAGAAACUAACAAGGAUUCCCCUAGUAACUGCGAGUGAAGCGGGAAAAGCUCAAAUUUAAAAUCUGGCGGUCUUUGGCCGUCCGAGUUGUAAUCUAGAGAAGCGUCUUCCGUGC
rnacentral:rRNA from 1 species